ACGCAACUGUAGACUCUUAGUUUUGUUGAUUUAGCUCUAGAAAUACUUGACUUCAUAAUAUCAUCUACUCAGCCUACUCUGUCGCAUCUGUCACUGGGUUUCGUUGCAGCUCAUACAUGUUGGAAAGCUAAUUUAAUCUUCCUUCUAGAAACAAAGGAUUUUAAUGUCAGUUUAUUCUUGAUUUCAGCAACCUUGUUCAUGCUUAUUCAGCUGCCCACAGCAGUGCAACAACAACAGAAAGGAUAAAGAAAGUACGUGUUGGAUAUAGACAGCUCUUCUAUGUCGAUGAGUGACCAGCACUGAUGGCAGACUGUGCAGGCUGUGAUAGGAAGACCUGGAUGAUAACAGAAAAGCAGAUAACUCCAGCUGUAGCAGAGCAGGUGAGAAACAAAACGCCUUGGCUAUAAAAUGAUUGCUCAUGUUGAGAUGUUGUAUGACAAGAUUUGGACAAAUGAAAGGCUGAGUUACCAAGAAGGCAAUGUGGGAAAGUGCACCCAAAGGCCCAAAGUAGGCUUUUUGGCUGAUAUGCCCCCUUAAAACACAAUAAAGUGGAAAUAGUAAACACCCUGG